CUCUAUGCUGAGAUCUGAUAGCAAGCUGUACUUGUACAGCGAAGUGGUUGAUGCCAUGCUUCCAGGAAAAGUCUCUAAGCUUCAGUUACACAGGAAUCGUACCCGAAACCGACACAGGUGGUCAGGUCGAGUAGACCAAGGCGCUUGAGAGAACUCUGCUGAAGGAACUAGGCAAAAUGGUACCGUAACUUCGGGAGAAGGUACGCUGUUGUUGGUGAUGGAACUCGCUUCCUGAGCUGACGACAGCCGCAGAAACCAGGCCGCUGCAACUGUUUAUUAAAAACAUAGCACUCUGCAAACACGAAAGUGGACGUAUAGGGUGUGAUGCCUGCCCGGUGCUGGAAGGUUAAUUGAUGGGGUUAGCGUAAGCGAAGCUCUUGAUCGAAGCCCCAGUAAACGGCGGCCGUAACUAUAACGGUCCUAAGGUAGCGAAAUUCCUUGUCGGGUAAGUUCCGACCUGCACGAAUGGCAUAAUGAUGGCGGCGCUGUCUCCAGCAGAGGCUCAGUGAAAUCGAAAUCGCUGUGAAGAUGCAGUGUACCCGCGGCUAGACGGAAAGACCCCGUGAACCUUUACUGCAGCUUGACACUGAACUUUGACCUUACUUGUGUAGGAUAGGUGGGAGGCUUUGAAGCUGGAACGCUAGUUCCAGUGGAGCCGUCCUUGAAAUACCACCCUGGUAAUGUUGAGGUUCUAACUCUGUCCCGUGAUCCGGGACGAGGACCGUGUCUGGUGGGUAGUUUGACUGGGGCGGUCUCCUCCUAAAGAGUAACGGAGGAGUACGAAGGUGCGCUCAGCGUGGUCGGAAAUCACGCGUAGAGUAUAAAGGCAAAAGCGCGCUUAACUGCGAGACCCACAAGUCGAGCAGGUACGAAAGUAGGUCUUAGUGAUCCGGUGGUUCUGUAUGGAAGGGCCAUCGCUCAACGGAUAAAAGGUACUCUGGGGAUAACAGGCUGAUACCGCCCAAGAGUUCAUAUCGACGGCGGUGUUUGGCACCUCGAUGUCGGCUCAUCUCAUCCUGGGGCUGAAGCAGGUCCCAAGGGUAUGGCUGUUCGCCAUUUAAAGAGGUACGCGAGCUGGGUUUAGAACGUCGUGAGACAGUUCGGUCCCUAUCUACCGUGGGCGCUGGAAAUUUGAGAGGAUCUGCUCCUAGUACGAGAGGACCAGAGUGGACGAACCUCUGGUGUACCGGUUGUGACGCCAGUCGCAUCGCCGGGUAGCUAUGUUCGGAAGGGAUAACCGCUGAAAGCAUCUAAGCGGGAAGCCUACCUCAAGAUAAGAUUUCCCUAGGACUUUAUGUCCUCUAAAGAGCCGUUCGAGACUAGGACGUUGAUAGGUUGGAUGUGGAAGCAUAGUGAUAUGUGAAGCUGACCAAUACUAAUUGCUCGUGAGGCUUGACUAU
rnacentral:rRNA from 1 species